AAUUGUUUUGGUUAAUGUUUAGAUUAAAUUAGUUAAAUACAGCAGUGAUAACGAGUGUUUAGAUUAAAUUGGUAAAUGCAGCAGUAAUAACGAGUGUUUGGGUUAAAUUGGUAGAUACAGCAGUGAUAUUGUGUUUAUCUGUGAAUCAGGAGUGUGCUGGAUGUGAAGAGAGGUGUGUAGGUAUUUAUCCAAACGCCAUAGGAAAAAAUAUGGUUAAG